AACGCAUCUUGCACUCUCGAAUCACUAUCGAGAGUAUGCCUGUUUGAGUGUCGCGAAACUCUCAACCCCGCCUCAUGCUUUAUUGCGUGUGGGUAGCUUGGGCUUGGAUCAUGAUCUUUGCAGUGUUGCAUUAGCAAACUGCUGGAUUGAAAUACAACAAGCUGAAUCUAUAUACUUGCGGCUUGACCUGUCGUUGUAAGCACACAAAUGCAUUCGAUGGGGACGCGAGAAAAUGGAAUGAGCUUUCCAAAUGUGUUACACUUUGCAGCUUCUAUUAACUUAGAGCUCUUAGUGCAUUCUGACCUCAAAUCAGGUAGGAUUACCCGCUGAACUUAA
rnacentral:misc_RNA from 1 species